rnacentral:lncRNA from 1 species
GAAACGUGCAGAGAAGGAAGAGAACCGAAAUAGAGAAGGAGAAAAGGGAAAAAAGAAGAAGGGGAGAAAAAAGGAGAGGAGGAAAAAGAAGGAAUAGGUGAUGUCUUUUAAACUUGCAUUCAUUAUUUAUCCCUAUUUUCAAGAGGUAAGUAAAAAUUAGGUUAAUUGAAAUUUUAGGGUUUAAGGAAAAAUUGCUCAAAUUUGAAGUUUAACAAAAAUUAAUGAUUAUUGAUAUAUAUGCUUAGGAAAGUUGAAAUGGGUUUGUCAGUUAGAGUUGAAUCCUUAAUUUAUUGUGUUUAUAUUAUAUAAAACACUUUGACUUAUGAGGUAUUAGAAUGGUACAAGUAUUUUAGGUUUGAUUUUGGUAUUUUUAACUAUUUUUCUCUAAUUUUCGUGCAAAAUUAUCACUUCGCUGCUAUUUUUGAAAUUCUGCCCGAAAAAGUGUUAUUUUUGUCAAUGUUUUUGGUGACAGAUUUUAAUAUAUAGUCAUUGGUGCUAGUUUUCAGUAUCCUGGAAUUAUAGUGUUAGUUUUGUCAAUCAUCUAAUUUUCGUGGAUUUUUAGUAUUGGAACCAAAUUAAGUGUUAAAUAUUUGGGGUUUUGAUGUUAAAAUAAUUUAUAUAAAGGGGUAUAUGUUGUCAGUGACCUUAAUUGGAAUUAUGAGGUUGAAAAUAAAAUAUAUCAAGUUUCCAUUGGUAAAUUAAUAUUUCUAAUGGUAGGAAAAUACUCAAAGGACCUUUUGUGAGGGGAUACGAUCUACUAGAGCGAGGGCGUGAUAUCAUACUUGAUAUUUGAAGUUGAAGCAGUGAUGAGAAGAAUGAAACCAUGAUUGACCAUGACUUGGUGAGUGGAAAGACUUAUAUAUUUUCAAAUAGCAAUAAGGUACCUAUACUAUUACAUUACGUGUGAUUAUGCAAAUUAUUUGUUCAAUUACAUGCUUAAUAUGGAAAGUUCUUUCACUAUAAUAUAUGUGGAAUUUAAAGUUUGGAUAUGGAUUAUUUGUGAGUUGGAAUGUAAGACAUAUGUGAUAUUGAGAUCGACUAGAAAAGUACUCGUGAUUAUAUACUUCUUCUAGUUCAUAGAGGGGACUUGGUCGUGUUCUGUACUGCACUGAGGGGUCGACUAGGGAUGAAGGGGCCUUGACUGUGUACAUAUAAUUCAAUGAGGGCCUUAGCCAUGUUCCAUAAUUGAUUAUCAGAGGUCUGAGACUCGCUUUCAUACACGGAGGGGGCCAAAGGCCCAUGGCGAAAGUACUUGGCCCGAGGGACGGAUUUCAAAUUUUAGUCAGAGGGUACAAUUUUGGUGGAUCACAUGUGAAGUGAUGAGAUGAUGGUAUAGAUAUCAGCUGAUGACUAUAUCGUAGAUAUGAGAUGAUAUUUAUCAGCUGAUGACUAUAUCGUAGAUAUGAGAUGAUAUUUACUCUUUAUGAGAAUGUCUCAUCUUUUUUUCAAUAAAUUUUAUAAGGCUAUCGUGUGAAUUACUAAAUGAUAUGAACUUGAUGUCUAUGUAUGAGAAAAAUGUUUGAAUGAAAAGGUAUAAUUAUUUUCGAACUCUUCCUCUCACUGAGCUAUAAACUCAUACUUUUCCACAAUUUUUCUUACAGGUAGGAUUGGUCCCUGAUAGCUUGAGAAGCCUAGUGGUUUCAGAAUUAGAGCCACAUGACCUAUUGAGUGAUACGAUUCAUUUUCGUAAAACAUAAAGUAAUUAUUUCGAGCCCAUUGCAUUAGAUUUUUCAUAAACAUUUGAUUUUGUUGCAUAUUUUGUAUUAACUCAUAGUCAGCCUUGGUGGUGGAUCUGGCAUCUAGUCAGUAUCUACCAUUGGCGCACGUUAUGUUUUGGGUCCAUAGGUGAUUCAGAAUGGAUCGUGUCACUUGGGA